UAAAGAAUAGAUUUUGUUUGUGCUUUGA
rnacentral:sRNA from 1 species